GACGAACGCUGGCGGCGUGCUUAACACAUGCAAGUCGAGCGGUAAGGCCCUUUUGGGGGUACACGAGCGGCGAACGGGUGAGUAACACGUGGGUGACCUGCCCUCAGCUCUGGGAUAAGCCUGGGAAACUGGGUCUAAUACUGGAUAUGACCUUUCCUCGCAUGGGGGUUGGGUGGAAAGUUUUUCGGCUGGGGAUGGGCCCGCGGCCUAUCAGCUUGUUGGUGGGGUGAUGGCCUACCAAGGCGACGACGGGUAGCCGGCCUGAGAGGGCGACCGGCCACACUGGGACUGAGACACGGCCCAGACUCCUACCGGGAGGCAGCAGUGGGGAAUAUUGCGCAAUGGGCGGAAGCCUGACGCAGCGACGCCGCGUGGGGGA
rnacentral:rRNA from 1 species